GAAAUGCGAUAAGUAGUGUGAAUUGCAGAUUUCAGUGAAUCAUCGAAUCUUUGAACGCACAUUGCGCCCUUUGGUAUUCCUUAGGGCAUGCCUGUUCGAGCGUCAUUUAAACCUUCAAGCUCAGCUUGGUGAUGGGUGACUGUCCGCUGCCUCCCCCCGGGGUGCGCCGCGGACUCGCCUCAAAUUUAUUGGCGGCCGGUACGUUGGCUUCGAGCGCAGCAGAAACGCGUAACUCGAGGUCUCCGUGGCGGCUCCCACAAGCAACCUUCAUUAUUUUGACCUCGGAUCAGGUAGGGAUACCCGCUGAACUUAA
rnacentral:misc_RNA from 2 species